rnacentral:tRNA from 3 species
UGGUAAUUAGUUUAAAUAAAACAAAUGAUUUCGACUCAUUAGAUUAUGUACAUCAGCCAUAAUUACCAU